AUUGAACGCUGGCGGCAGGCCUAACACAUGCAAGUCGAGCGGAGCGGCGGACGGGUGAGUAAUGCCUAGGAAUCUGCCUGGUAGUGGGGGAUAACGUCCGGAAACGGGCGCUAAUACCGCAUACUAUCAGAUGAGCCUAGGUCGGAUUAGCUAGUUGGUGGGGUAAAGGCCUACCAAGGCGACGAUCCGUAACUGGUCUGAGAGGAUGAUCAGUCACACUGGAACUGAGAAAAGGUCCAGACGCCUACGGGAGGGAGCAGGGGGGAAAAUUGGACAAUGGGCGAAAGCCUGAUGCAGCCAUGCCGCGGGUGGGAAGAAGGUCCUCGGAUUGUAAAGCAAGUUAAGUUGGGAGGCGUUACCAACAGAAUAAGCACCGGCUAACUUCGUGCCAGCAGCCGCGGUAAUUC
rnacentral:rRNA from 1 species